rnacentral:rRNA from 1 species
AUACGUAGGUGACAAGCGUUAUCCGGAUUUACUGGGCGUAAAGGGCGUGUAGGCGGUCUUGCAAGUCAGAAGUGAAAUUCCUGAGCUCAACUCGGGCGCUGCUUCUGAAACUGCAGGACUUGAGUGCUGGAGGGGAGAGCGGAAUUCCUAGUGGAGCGGUAAAAUGCGCAGAUAUUAGGAAGAACACCGGUGGCGAAGGCGGCUAUCUGGACAGUAACUGACGCUGAGGCGCGAAAGCGUGGGGAGCAAACAGGAUUAGAUGCCCUUGUAGUCCACGCCGUAAACGAUGAAUACUAGGUGUAGGGGGUAUCGACUCCCUCUGUGCCGCAGUUAACACAAUAAGUAUUCCGCCUGGGGAGUACGGCCGCAAGGUUGAAACUCAAAGGAAUUGACGGGG